CCUCUUAUCUUUUGGGUGGCAGUGUAAUUUAAUGGGUAAGGAGCUUGUCUUGUAACCUAAAGGUCACAGGUUCGAUUCCCAGGUAGGUCACUGCCGUUGCACCCUUGAGCAAGGUACUUAAACUGCAUUGCUUCAGUACAUGUCCAGCUGUAUAAAUGCUAUGUAAAAAGUUGCGUCUGGAUAAGAGCAUCUACUAAAUGCCUGUAAUGUAAUGUAAUGCUUCUUCACAGUACAGACCUGGGUAUAAAAGAGGAGAUUGCUGUGUUUAGGGGAGAGGCUGUGUUUUGGGGAGAGGCUGUGUUUGGUGGGAAAGGCUGUGUUUGGUGGGAGAGGUUAUUUUUUAGGCUGCUUUUCAGUGAGCAGAAUUUUGUUUUGGCAUACUUUCCGCCUAUUGUUGGCUUUAUCUUGUUGCUAUGAUAGAAUACAAAUUGUUGGUGGUGAAAGAAUAUAUUUAUGACUCUCAGACAGACACUAUUGUCCCGUUUGUCAUGCCUGAUUGGUGUACUUACAGAUGAGACUGGCCUGGUUUACCUAUUAAAUGGGAAUUUCACUUUAUAACACGUCUGGGGUUAUUUUCACACCUACCCGGGCUUGUGUGUGCACCCCAGACAGUUUUUAGGUUGCUUGCUUCACUAUUUAGAUAUUUAAAUAUUGGGAUGUCAGGUAUGCCAUCCCUCCAAGUUACGCCUUGGCGGGGGCAUGCCCCAUACCUAUACAGAACCAAGAGUUUGGCACUUUUCAGGGUUCCCCACAGAAAUAACCACAACAGCCACAGACACUCAACCAUUAAAAACAUUAAAUUCUGUACAUUCUCACCCCAUUUCAACAGGCAGAAUUCAAAAACAACUUCAUGUCCACACAAUAAAGCCCCAAACUAAGGGAAUUUUGCGUUUUCUCCUUGUUAUUUUUCCUGCCGCCAAUCCCACUAACAUGUCUCCCCAUUGGACAUUUUACCGACACCAGCCAAAUCUUCACCUACACGACCCAAUCAAAAACUCGCAUACACACGCAAAAUACCCAUUCCUUUUUAUUCUGAAACAUUUCCAGUUUAAACAACUAGUCUGCUGUGGCCUAGUGGGCAAAGUUACAGUCUUGGGAACAUGGGAUCGUCGGUUCAAGCCCAGCUAGGAACACGUUUCUUUAACCUGCUUUUACCCUCAUUAAUAAUAGUUUACUACUUCUCAAGUAUUGCUUUUGCACCAUAUCUACCCGCCGUUCACCAAACGUAUACACUACAUUAUGACGUACCGUCUGCACGUUCAGUUAUUAACCGGCUACAAUAUUGCAAACCCCUUAUGGAUUCAAUGGGAGCUCUUCUGUGCUUACUGGCCUAUGUUCUUCUUUAAAACCACGGACAGGUUUGCUUAUGAUAUUUCACACAUUGCAUAGCUAUGUCAUGGUGCUGCACUAACAAAGUCACAGACUGGUAAACCUCCGGUUGAAGGAUUGAAUCCCGCCUCGCCCUCAGGCAGAUAAUUUCCUCUUUUACACUAAUGUUUUCUUACGCUUUUAUAUUUUCUUUACCAAAACGCACUCACGGCCACCCAUAUGCAUUUCAUGACGGCAAAUGUAUUCAUUUUAUUAAAAAGUUACACCAGUUCACCACUCUGCCAUUUCUACUAACUACAUUUCUUCACUUGGCUACCGUACAAAACCUUAUCGGCAAACGCCACGUUUCUACAUUUGUCACCUCGCCCUGUUCUCUAUCUAGCCACAUACAAUUACUACAUAUGUACGUUCUGCAACUCCCCAUUAAAACAUUACAUUUAAAACCACGACUCACUCAUAAUUAUAACUACUAGCACUGAACAUGAGAAAAACACAUCAGUGCAAUAGAUUUCACGUUACUUAACCCUUCACUUUAAUGACUAAUGCUUUAUACCGACUGUUAUAUAUACCGUUCGAUAAGGAUACUAAGCUCGAUCAUGGUCACUUCAUUUACUUCGCACUAUAGUCUGUGAUCAUGUCAACCUUCACCUACAUGCCCAUUCUGCUAAAAACAUCUUGUUUCAACUACGCUAUUUCAUCAUUUAAUUCUAAUUUCUCUCACUGUUGUUAUUUUAUCAUAUGCAAAGCCUGCUGGGACAUGUGUGUCUGCUCCUAUUCUCCACUAUCAAGUUUUCCGGUUCUAGCUUAGCAAAACAGCGAAGAGGAUUCCCACCUGCAGAUAAGCCUAUCAAAAUGCCUUAUAAACCUUACAAACACUAAAAGUGCAUCUCCACGAAAUAACAGACAACGGAGCAGGACAGCAGGGUACACAAGUUGCGACCUAGGGAGCUCUAAUUCUACGGGCUUCCUGAUUCUUUUGACAAUCACGGCUCGUUGGAUGGCCAUCAGAUCCAUGAGUACAUACACUGGCCAUAUUUCACCUGCAUUUCUGAUGCGUUUACACUUACCCCAGCGCACGCUUUGUCACAGCCAGUGUUUUAGAUAUAGCAAACCAAAACUGCCAAACUGUACACGCUCAUCAGACUGUACAAAUUCACACAAGGAUAGCCAUAAUCCACAACCGUUUCUUACAGGGUCACUUCGCAUUUCUCACUCAUAAUAAAACGCUUUGCAAAAAGAAAUGAUCUCAUAAAAAACACGUUUUCAACAUACAAAAAUGCCCAGUUACUCACACAUACAAGACAUACCCUGUCUAUAACUCAUUCAUUCAGACUGACAAAAUCCAUGCCUGCGAUUAAAAGUACUGAUAUCAAAAUGACGCCAAGUUACGGUACUACAAACAAUAUAGGCUCUUGCCUCAUGAAAUUACAUAAGAUGUAUUCCAAAGCAAUGCCACCCAAUAUUUCCUCAAUUCUUUCAAGACACUGAAGGUAGACUUUUAUUUCAGGAAUAAAUCCUGCUUCUCCAUCUCUCCUGCAAGGAAAUACCCGGUCCUUACCAUAGAAUGGUAAAGUGGUACAGCAUACAGUGUUUGAGUGUUAAAAUGCAAGUGUGGUCGAGUCGUUGAAGGUUAAUGUGUUCAGGAAACUACAGACCUGUAAGUUUAACUUGCAUAAUAUGUAAAAUACUGGAAUCUAUCAUUAGAGGCAAGUUGGAAGCAUUUCUUGAAAAUAGCAACAUCCUAAGGGAUAGCCAGCAUGGUUUUCGUAAGGGAAGGUCAUGUCUGACAAACCUUCUGGUAUUCUUUGAAGCUACCAAGUGUUUUGAUUAUAGCAAUACAUAUUAUAUUAUCUACUUAGAUUUUCAAAAGGCAUUUGAUAAGGUACCACGUGAGAGGCUUGUUAGUAAAAUGAAGACCGUAGGAAUUAGAGGAUGUAUUUCAGAGUGGAUUCGGCUACAGGGUAGAACACAAAGAGUAGUAGGAGGGACAUUAUCUGUGCAGGGAGCUGUUAGAAGUGGAGUCCCACAAGGAUCAGUGCUGGGACCACUGCUCUUCCUCAUUUACAUCAAUGACUUUGACUGGGACAUAGAAAGUACAUCAGUCAAAUUUGUAGAUGAUACAAAACUGGGAGGCUAAUAGUUUGGAAGCUACUAAAGUAAUCCAAGAAUAUUUAAAUAAAAUCCAGAAGUGGGCGGAAACCCGGCAAAUGAAAUUUAAUAAAGCCAAAUGUAAAGUUCUGCAUGUGGGAAAUAAAAACAUUAGGCAGGAUUAGGCGACUUUAUGGGAGGAUCAAAAUUGGAAUGUGCCCAGUUUGAAAAAGACUUGGGAUUAAUGGUUGAGCAAAGCCUUUCUGGUUCUAGGCACUGUGCUGUCGCAGUAAAAAAAAAAAAGGCCAACGGGAUGCUGGGAUAUAUAGCCAAAAGUAUUGAGCAUAAAUCCAAGGAAGUUAUACUUAUCUUA